AAGCGAUUCUAACGACACCACGUUCCUUUCAACGAAUGCUACGAGUUUGAUCGCUUCGACUUCUAUUUUGAACUGGCGAUCCUUGACUACGUGCGACGACAACAGAAACAAAUCUUUGAUUGACUUUGAUAAUUACUGGAUCAAUUCUUCUUUCUAUUCGAGCGAACAUCGAAGUUUUCACAAGAUGUCUGCUGCAAGUAUCAACGAAGAUUAAAAAACUUUAUUACAAUCGCGCGCGUAGCAAUGAAAUAAUCGAGUGUUUGUUCGUUCGCGUUUCGCGAUUUAAACAAGAAAUAUUUUUGUAUCGACUGCGUGCAAUGCAGUCGCAAUAGAGUCAGUGUUUGUUCGCAAAGUUUUUUGCUUUUUUAACAGUCGCACAGACUGUGUUUAUAAAAGACAAUAGAGUUUCGCGAAGUAAAUUCAGUGAGCGUUCGUUAAUAAAUAAUUAUCGCGAAUUAGAGUCAGUGCAUCAUCGAAGACGAUCUCGUCCAACUUCGAUUUUCAACCAACUACGAAUCAUCCACCCUCAAUUUCGACCUAAAUCGCGGACGAGUGUUUUGGAGGCUUCGCAGAACUUCUUAAGUAUUCGACCAAACACGAGUCUCACGUCUCAAAGUCUGAGUCUUGAUCUCUUUGUUGGCGCAGUUUGCUCUUCGCUUUUCUCGCCUUUGUCGCCAUGGGUUUCUUCUUUUUCGGCUUCGGCAUGAUCUCGCAGCUG